rnacentral:rRNA from 1 species
GAUGAACGCUGGCGGCGUGCUUAACACAUGCAAGUCGAACGAUGAAGCCCAGCUUGCUGGGUGGAUUAGUGGCGAACGGGUGAGUAACACGUGAGUAACCUGCCCUUAACUCUGGGAUAAGCCUGGGAAACUGGGUCUAAUACCGGAUAGGAGCGCCUACCGCAUGGUGGGUGUUGGAAAGAUUUAUCGGUUUUGGAUGGACUCGCGGCCUAUCAGCUUGUUGGUGAGGUAAUGGCUCACCAAGGCGACGACGGGUAGCCGGCCUGAGAGGGUGACCGGCCACACUGGGACUGAGACACGGCCCAGACUCCUACGGGAGGCAGCAGUGGGGAAUAUUGCACAAUGGGCGAAAGCCUGAUGCAGCGACGCCGCGUGAGGGAUGACGGCCUUCGGGUUGUAAACCUCUUUCAGUAGGGAAGAAGCGAAAGUGACGGUACCUGCAGGAGAAGCACCGGCUAACUACGUG